AUCAGGGCUCCAACCCUGGGAAAGCAUUGCAAACUAUCUUACUUGAGUUCGGUAGGGGCAGAGAGAAUUCCCAGUGUAGCGGUGAAAUGCGUAGAUAUUGGGAGGAAGACCCAGUGGCGAAGGCGUUCUGCUGGGCCGUAACUGACACUCAGAGACGAAAGCUAAGGUAGCAAAUAGGAUUAGAUACCCUAGUAGUCUUAGCUGUAAACGAUGCACACUAUGUUUUGCAAUUUGCAGAGCAAUAGCUAACGCGUUAAGUGUGCCGCCUGGGGAGUACAUUCGCAAGGAUGAAACUCAAAGGAAUUGACGGGGACCCGCACAAGCGGUGGAGCAUGUGGUUUAAUUCGAUGCAACGCGAAGAACCUUACCAAGAAUUGACAUGCUGCGAACGUUUACGAAAGUAAAAAGUCUAUUAACUUAGUUAAUAGCGCAGACACAGGUGGUGCAUGGUUGUCGUCAGCUCGUGCCGUGAGGUGUUAGGUUAAGUCCUGCAACGAGCGCAACCCUUGUCUUUAGUUAUAUUCUAGAGAGACUGCCGGUGAUAAACCGGAGGAAGGUGAGGAUGACGUCAAAUCAGCAUGCCCCUUACAUCUUGGGCGACUCACGUGCAACAAUGGUCGGGACAAAGAGAUGCUACCCUGCGAAGGCAAGCUAACCUCAAAAACCCGAUCUCAGUUCGGAUUGCAGGCUGCAACUACGCCUGCAUUAAGUUGGAAUCGCUAGUAAUCGCAGCUCAGCCAUACUGCGGUGAAUACGUUCUCGCCCCUUGCACACACCGCCCG
rnacentral:rRNA from 1 species